rnacentral:tRNA from 1 species
GCGGAUGUGGCGGAACCGGCAGACGCGCCGGCCUUAGGAGCCGGUGUCUUAGACGUAGGAGUUCAAAUCUCCUCAUCCGCACCA